GCGCCCGUAGCUCAGCUGGAUUAGAGCGUUGGUUUCCGGUACCAAAGGUCGGAGGUUCGAAUCCUCUCGGGCGUACCA
rnacentral:tRNA from 1 species